rnacentral:rRNA from 1 species
CCUACGGGAGGCAGCAGUGGGGAAUCUUGGACAAUGGGCGCAAGCCUGAUCCAGCCAUGCCGCGUGAGUGAUGAAGGCCCUAGGGUCGUAAAGCUCUUUCGCCAGGGAUGAUAAUGACAGUACCUGGUAAAGAAACCCCGGCUAACUCCGUGCCAGCAGCCGCGGUAAUACGGAGGGGGUUAGCGUUGUUCGGAAUUACUGGGCGUAAAGCGCACGUAGGCGGAUCGGAAAGUUGGGGGUGAAAUCCCGGGGCUCAACCCCGGAACUGCCUCCAAAACUAUCGGUCUAGAGUUCGAGAGAGGUGAGUGGAAUUCCGAGUGUAGAGGUGAAAUUCGUAGAUAUUCGGAGGAACACCAGUGGCGAAGGCGGCUCACUGGCUCGAUACUGACGCUGAGGUGCGAAAGUGUGGGGAGCAAACAGGAUUAGAUACCCUGGUAGUCCACACCGUAAACGAUGAAUGCCAGUUGUCGGGUAGCAUGCUAUUCGGUGACACACCUAACGGAUUAAGCAUUCCGCCUGGGGAGUACGGUCGCAAGAUUAAAACUCAAAGGAAUUGACGGGG